GACAGAGGGUGCAAACGUUGUUCGGAAUUACUGGGCGUAAAGCGCGUGUAGGUGGCAAGGCAAGUCGGGUGUGAAAGCCCUGGGCUCAACCCAGGAAGUGCACUCGAUACUGCCUCGCUAGAGUCCCGGAGAGGUUGGUGGAACUCUCGGUGUAGAGGUGUAAUUCGUAGAUAUCGAGAAGAACACCGGUGGCGAAGGCGGCCAACUGGACGGUGACUGACACUGAGACGCGAAAGCGUGGGGAGCAAACAGG
rnacentral:rRNA from 1 species